GACAGAGGUCCCGAGCGUUAGGCGGAAUCACUGGGCUUAAAGCGUGUGUAGGCGGAUUUGUAAGUACCUUGUGAAAUCCCACAGCUUAACUGUGGAACUGCUUGGUAUACUGCUUAUCUUGGGCCACUUAGGGGUUACCGGAACAAACGGUGGAGCGGUGAAAUGCGUAGAUAUCGUUUGGAACGCCAAUGGUGAAAACAGGUAACUGGGAGUGUGCCGACGCUGAGGCACGAAAGCCAGGGGAGCGAACGGG
rnacentral:rRNA from 1 species